AGCGGGAAACAUAAUGCAUAUGGCCACGCCAAUGGUGGAGCCGACCAAGCCAAUGAUCAGCUCAACGGACGGUAUAACCAGCGCCACGCAGAGCGAGAAAACAACGAUAAAGAUCGUAAUGAGGCGGAAUCGUUGUUCCGCAAAUAUAGCCUUACUUUUCGAUAGAGCAACGAGUAGAUGCUGGCCCUGCACGGAAAUAUGACCAAGGGAAAGCUGAAAGCAAUAGACAGCACAAAGCCAAUUUUGAUAAUGUCGCUGCCAAAGGAGGGUGACAAGUUUACCAAGAUGUUACCUGCAUAUAGAACGAGAAUAAGUCGAGAUAUUUACUCAAAAGUCGUUAUGUCUUACCCGAAAAAGUGUGAGUGCAGAAGGCCACAUAGCCAAAGAAGCCGACAGCAAUGUAAACAAGCGUACAGAUCCAAGUGGCGUUGCGGACGACGCCGUUUAGCUUAUCAAGACUCUGGUUAUUGAUACUCUCGAAGACCUCAAAAAGCUGCCUUCAGGUUGAACAAAUAUUUAACGAUAUUCAUACACAAAUAUUGAACAAUAAACGUACAUUUGGCAGGAUAGCGCCAUGCUGAA